UACGGGGGGAGCAAGCGUUGUUCGGAUUUACUGGGCGUAAAGGGCGCGUAGGCGGCCACCGCAAGUCGACUGUGAAAUCUCCGGGCUUAACCCGGAAAGGUCAGCCGAUACUGCGGGGCUAGAGUGCAGAAGGGGCAACUGGAAUUCUCGGUGUAGCGGUGAAAUGCGUAGAUAUCGAGAGGAACACCUGCGGCGAAGGCGGGUUGCUGGGCUGACACUGACGCUGAUGCGCGAAAGCUAGUGGAGCGAACGGG
rnacentral:rRNA from 1 species